CGUUCCCGGGCCUUGUACACACCGCCGUCCCCCCCCANACCACGAAAGUCGGCAACACCCGAAGCCAGUGGCCCAACCGUAAGGAGGGAGCUGUCGAAGGUGGGGUCGGUGAUUGGGGUG
rnacentral:rRNA from 1 species